GGCCCCUCAUCCUCCUCCGAGGACGGGCUGACCAGUGGGAGGAGCUCCCCUUGGGUUUGCUGCCUGGAGCCACUCGAGGCUGCGCUCUGCCGGGUCCCUUGCUCAGUACUGGCUUUGCCCCGAUGCCUCUCACACUGCUGCUGUCAGCCACUGGCCCAGGUGCAGACUCCUGAAUAAUUAGGGAGAGUGGAUGUAGGGAUGGGUGAGGUGGGGGGAGUGUGCAUUAGGACACAGCCCUGCCCCUGCAUGGCAUCUGGAUGUCUCUGGUUCCUACCUGGGGGGGGCACACUGGUGACCCAUGACCUUUGACUCUUGACCCUUGACGCUGCCCAAACAUGACCAACUCCCUUCUCAGUUCUGUUCCAAUUCGUGUUCCUCAUGGGACACAGGAUGGCUCAGUAGGUGGGCUUUGUGCCAGGCUGAGAGGGCAGGGUGUGGGUGGGGCGCUGGGAGACUGCACUGCCUCAGGCCUGUCCCCCACCCUGGACCAAGAACCAGACGGAAUAGUCUGGGGCGGGGCCGGAGCCACUGUGUGCUUUGGAAAAGGCACCCUCUGGGGGCAGCCUGACUUGGGUUCCAAGUCCCAGACACAGGCUGUGAGACAGGAGUGGGGUCCAGGGCUCGGUUUGGGUGCUGACCCGGAGACACGCAGUCAGGGGCACUAGCGAAGAGAUGGGUGAAAGUGGACCUCUCUGGAAGCCUUGGAGGGGCCAAGCGAGGACAAAUCCAGACCGUGGGACUGGAUGGAGGAGCCUGACAGAGAGGAAGCCUGCACCUGCUAGGAGUCAGUGGGGCUCAGGGGCUCAGGACUGCUCAGAACUGGAGCCAGGCAGGAGCCUGAGAGGAGCAGUGGGUACACGUGCCUUACCCAGGGUCCCUGGGAGACUGUGCAUUAGUGUGUGGGUCUCCACUGUAGGCCUCUGGGCUCCCGACAAGGGACCCUCUGAGGACCCCACAGGGGCCGGGAGCUGGGAGUUCCUCUCCAGACAGGGCCCGGCAUGGGCGCCAGUGCCUGGGCCAGGAAGAGGCGGACGCAGUCACGGGAGGUAGCAGCUGUUGCAUGGUAGGUGGCUCCACCCCACCUAGAGCGCCCUGAGGGUCAGAUACACCCUGCCAAAAUAACGACCCCACCAGUGGCAAAGGCUUGUGGGGCCGAUGGCCAUCGAUGACUCAGGAUCAAGGACCACGGCAGCCAGAGCGGCAAGGAGCCUGGCUGUGCAGGGGUGGGGUCCCCCAGACAGGGCACCACAUGGCAGCAGGGAUUUAGUGGGCAGAGAAAAUGUCUCUCAUCUGUCAGUAACAAGAGACUCAAAGGCCCUGGCCCAGGCAGGACCGGCUAUUUCUCCCUCGAGUGUGGAGUGAGCUUUCCAGGCAGAAGCAGAGGCUGAGGUGACGCGAAGUUUCAGAGACUGGAGGGCCCGAUCCUCCCAGCACCCUCUGCAUCGCCCUCAGUCAGUCUGCAGCGUCCACCCUGGACAGUCCGGGAAGUGUGACCCCAGCCCGGCUGGACGGCCAUCCUGGAGGACCAGGGUGAGGACAGAUGCCAGGCUGAAUUCGCCGGGCCCGUUGGGGACGCUGAGCUGGCACAGAGUCCGACACUGCACCCCUGCGUGCCCCACAGACCAGACGUUGUGCACAAGUGGCACCCCCAGCUCUUGAGACGACUCAAGUUUAUCCUUCUCUGUGGCAGAGUAACACUCCAUUGUAUGACGCUGUGUGCACUGGCGCAGGAGCUGAGCUGAGGGCAGAAGCUCCACGGUGAAGAAACAGGAGGCUGCACACUCUACGGAAAGACCAGGGUGCAGCCAGUAACCGGGCCCACGUCACAGACGAAGACUCGGCUCCCGGGCCACACAGCGAAGCCGAGGCCGAGGGCUGCCUACCCUGGGCGUGCGCAGGCUCU